GGUGAACGCUGGCGGCGUGCCUAAUACAUGCAAGUCGAACGAACAGACGAUAGUGCUUGCCCUCUCUGAGUUUAGCGUCGUACGGGGGUGUGAUACGUUGAGGACCUACCUAUAAGACUGGGGUAACUUCGGGAAACCGUACCGUAUUACUGAUAAUAUUUAGCGUCGCAUAACUCAAUAGUUAAAGACUGUUCUUCUGUCACUGAUAGAUUGACACGUGAUGUAGUAGCUAGUUGGUAAGGUAACUGCUCACAAAGGCAACGAUACAUAGGCGACCUGAGCAGGUGAUCGGCCACACUGGAACUGAGACACGGUCCAGACUCCUACGGGAGGCAGCAGUAGGGAAUCUUCCGCAAUGGACGAAAGCCUGACGGAGCAAUGCCGCGUGAGUGAAGAAGGUUUUCGGAUCGUAAAACUCUGUUGUAAGGGAAGAACAAGUACGUUAGUAACUGAAGGUAUACUGACGGUACCUAACGAGAAAGCCACGGCUAACUACGUG
rnacentral:rRNA from 1 species